rnacentral:rRNA from 1 species
ACGUAGGGACCAAGCGUUGUUCGGAUUUACUGGGCGUAAAGGGCGCGUAGGCGGCAUGACAAGUCACUUGUGAAAUCUCUGGGCUUAACCCAGAACGGCCAAGUGAUACUGUCGCGCUAGAGUGCGGAAGGGGCAAUCGGAAUUCUCGGUGUAGCGGUGAAAUGCGUAGAUAUCGAGAGGAACACCUGCGGCGAAGGCGGGUUGCUGGGCUGACACUGACGCUGAGGCGCGAAAGCUAGGGGAGCGAACGGGA